GUUUCCCCCUUCUGCUUGCAAACAAUCACUGUUACCAGCUUUUGAGGGUGCGGGGAAUCAUAAUCAUGGCAAAGAAAAACUUUACGAAAGGACACUGAGACAAAGCAAAGCUGCCUCCAAAGCAAAACAAAUGGGGAUUUAAAGACAAACAAGACCAGGAACAUGUUAUUUGAAUUUGGCACCAACGAAUGAACAAUGCAGAAGGAAAGAUAAAACCAGGACCAAAGCAAUGCCAAAAGAGAAGCCAGUGCAAGCUUUAAAACCCUUGGAAAGAAAAGCCUGGUGAUGAAGAGACCAACAAAGCAUCAAAGAGAGGAAUAGCUAAAAGGCUUGACAAAGACCAAGCUGGAACAAAAGACCAAAAGGGAGAGAGAGAACAAAGCCAGCAGAACAAAGGGAGAUGUCUUCCAUGGUCCUGACACCCUCUUUUCUUUUGCGCACCCCUGCAAAUAUUACAGGGCCAAAGUCAAGCCUGGUUUGAAUGAAUCAUAUUCUGCCAGAAUAAUAAAAAAUGGGGGUGUGACAGGUGAUUUUAACAGCUUAUUCUCAGAAAAGGUUCAAUAGAUUGAUCUGGUUUAUUCAUAGUACUUUAAAGUCAAGUUGAGGGAAUGAAGUUGGAAGCACAAACAAGCCUACUUGUUCAGAUACAUGAAAUGUCUAGGAACACAUCAUUACACGCAGAGUGAUUGUGAAUAGGCAUGGAAAUGCAAAGCUUGUGGGUAUGGAGAUGAGCUGAGAAGUUCAAUGUUAUGGAAGGUCAUUGGGCAACCUAAGACUAAAGAUGUUGGGUUGCUGUGAGUUUGAUGUUGCCUAACAACAACUAAAGAUGAUGCUUAAAGGCAAGAUGAG
rnacentral:lncRNA from 11 species